CUCUAGAGCAGGGGCAGUCAAAAGGCAGACUCUCAGUGGUCAUGCAACUCCCAUGAUGCUUUGCCAGCUGGUAAUAACGUGUAGAAUGUAAGCAUGCUUGUGUUUGUAGUAUGUGUGUGAAUGUAGGAGUGUCUUUGUAUUAACCAUUGCCAUUUGAAAAGCAGUGUGUUUGUAUGUAAAUUUGGUGAAUGCCAGUAUUUAUUUGUUUAUAAUGUUUGAAUGCAGGGGGGUAUUUGUGUGUAGUGUUUGCGUUUGAAUGGAGGGGUGUGUUUAUAUGAAGUGUUGGCAUUUGAAUGCAGGUGUACAUAUGUGUAGUGUUGGUGCUUGUAUCCUGGGGUGUGUUUGUAUGUAGUGUUGAUUUUGACAGCAG